rnacentral:rRNA from 1 species
AGAGUUUGAUCCUGGCUCAGAACGAACGCUGGCGGCGUGCUUAACACAUGCAAGUCGGAUGCGAACGGCGCUUUCGGGCGUUGAGUAGCAUGGCAGACGGGUGAGGAGCGCGUAUCUGACUGGACUCAGGCUGGGGGAUAGUCCCUCGAAAGGGGGUUGAAUACCGCAUGUGCUCGGUGCUGUGAGGGCAUCGAGGAAAGUUGGCCUCUGCGGGCACGCUGAUGGCCUGAGACAGGGAUGCGUCCUAUUAGCUAGCUGGUGGGGUAAGGGCCUACCAGGGCGACGAUGGGUAGCUGGUCUGAGAGGAUGAUCAGCCACACUGGGACUGCGACACGGCCCAGACUCCUACGGGAGGCAGCAGUGGGGAAUUUUGCGCAAUGGGCGCAAGCCUGACGCAGCAACGCCGCGUGCAUGACGACGCCUUUCGAGGUGUAAAGUGCUGUCGACCGGGACGAAGGGGCGAGGGUGAACAGCUUUCGCGCAUGACGGUACCGGUGGAGGAAGCCCCGGCUAACUCCGUGCCAGCAGCCGCGGUAAGACGGAGGGGGCGAGCGUUGUUCGGAAUUACUGGGCGUAAAGCGCGCGUAGGCGGUGCAGCAAGUGGUGCGUGAAAGCCCUCGGCUUAACCGGGGACGGGCGUGCCAAACUGUUGGACUGGAGUGCCGGAGGGGGAGGCGGAAUUCCUGGUGGAGCGGUGAAAUGCGUAGAGAUCAGGAAGAACGUCGGUGGCGAAGGCGGCCUCCUGGACGGACACUGACGCUGAGGUGCGACAGCGUGGGGAGCGAACGGGAUUAGAUACCCCGGUAGUCCACGCCGUAAACGAUGGGUACUAGGUGUGGGGCUUGU